UGGUAAAUUAGUUUAAAAAAAAUAUCGGUUUUGUAUACCGGAGCUCUGCUUGAGAUUUACCU
rnacentral:tRNA from 1 species